GAUGAACGCUGGCGGCGUGCUUAACACAUGCAAGUCGAACGGAAAGGCCCAAGCUUGCUUGGGUACUCGAGUGGCGAACGGGUGAGUAACACGUGGGUGAUCUGCCCUGCACUUCGGGAUAAGCCUGGGAAACUGGGUCUAAUACCGGAUAGGACGAUGGUUUGGAUGCCAUUGUGGACAGUUUUUUCGGUGUGGGAUGAGCUCGCGGCCUAUCAGCUUGUUGGUGGGGUAAUGGCCUACCAAGGCGUCGACGGGUAGCCGGCCUGAGAGGGUGUACGGCCACAUUGGGACUGAGAUACGGCCCAGACUCCUACGGGGGGCAGCAGUGGGGAAUAUUGCACAAUGGGCGCAAGCCUGAUGCAGCGAGGCCGCGUGGGGGAUGACGGCCUUCGGGUUGUAAACUCCUUUCGCUAGGGACGAAGCGUUUUUGUGACGGUACCUGGAGAAGAAGCACCGGCUAACUACGUG
rnacentral:rRNA from 1 species